rnacentral:rRNA from 1 species
CAGCAGCCGCGGUAAUACGUAGGGUGCAAGCGUUAAUCGGAAUUACUGGGCGUAAAGCGUGCGCAGGCGGUUAUAUAAGACAGAUGUGAAAUCCCCGGGCUCAACCUGGGAACUGCAUUUGUGACUGUAUAGCUAGAGUACGGCAGAGGGGGAUGGAAUUCCGCGUGUAGCAGUGAAAUGCGUAGAUAUGCGGAGGAACACCGAUGGCGAAGGCAAUCCCCUGGGCCUGUACUGACGCUUAUGCACGAAAGCGUGGGGAGCAAACAGGAUUAGAUACCCCUGUAGUCCCUGUCUCUUAUAC